GAUGAACGCUGGCGGCGUGCCUAACACAUGCAAGUCGAACGGUCUUCGCAAGGGGACAGUGGCGCACGGGUGAGGAACACGUAGCCGACCUGCCUUGGAGUGCGGGAUAACGCCCCGAAAGGGGUGCUAAUACCGCGUAAGCUCACGGGAUUUAGAAACCUGGGAGAAAAGGCCUUCGGGUCGCUCUGAGAGGGGGCUGUGGCCCAUCAGCUAGUUGGUAGGGUAAAAGCCUACCAAGGCGACGACGGGUAGGGGGCCUGAGAUGGUGGCCCCCCACACUGGGACUGAGACACGGCCCAGACUCCUACGGGAGGCAGCAGUGAGGGAUAUUGCGCAAUGGGCGAAAGCCUGACGCAGCGACGCCGCGUGGGUGAAGAAGGCUUUCGGGUCGUAAAGCCCUUUUCCAGGUGACGAGGAAGGACGGUAGCCUGGGAAUAAGUGUCGGCUAACUACGUGCCAGCAGCCGCGGUAAAACGUAGGACACGAGCGUUAUCCGGAGUUACUGGGCGUAAAGGGCGUGUAGGCGGCUGGACAAGUUGGUUGUGAAAGCGCCCGGCUAAACUGGGCGAGGUCGAUCAAGACUGUGUAACUCGAGAGUGAUAGAGGGGCGCAGAAUUCGGGGUGUAGCGGUGAAAUGUGUAGAGAUCCCGAGGAAUACCAGUGGGGAAGCCGGCGCCCUGGGUCAUAUCUGACGCUGAGGUGCGAAAGCGUGGGGAGCGGACGGGAUUAGAUACCCCGGUAGUCCACGCCGUAAACGAUGUGAAUACCAGCUGUUUGGGAAAUCGACCUCCCAAGUGGCGCAGCUAACGCGAUGAGUAUUCCGCCUGGGGAUUACGGUCGCAAGACUAAAACUCAAAGGAAUUGACGGGGGCCCGCACAAGCGGUGGAGCAUGUGGUUUAAUUCGACGCAACGCGAAGAACCUUACCUUGGUUUGACAUCCCCUGACCGCUGUGGAGACACAGUUUUCUCUUCGGAGACAGGGUGACAGGUGCUGCAUGGCUGUCGUCAGCUCGUGUCGUGAGAUGUUGGGUUAAGUCCCGCAACGAGCGCAACCCUUGUCCUUAGUUGCCAGCGCGUAAUGGCGGGAACUCUAAGGAGACUGCCGGUGUUAAGCCGGAGGAAGGUGGGGAUGACGUCAAGUCCUCAUGGCCUUUAUAUCCAGGGCUACACACGUGCUACAAUGGUGACUACAAAGAGUCGCCAACCCGCGAGGGGGAGCCAAUCCCAGAAAACCGGUCGUAGUCCGGAUCGGAGUCUGCAACUCGACUCCGUGAAGUCGGAAUCGCUAGUAAUCGCGAAUCAGAAUGUCGCGGUGAAUACGUUCCCGGGCCUUGUACACACCGCCCGU
rnacentral:rRNA from 1 species